rnacentral:rRNA from 1 species
AGUGAACGCUGGCGGUAGGCCUAACACAUGCAAGUCGAACGGCAGCACAGUAAGAGCUUGCUCUUACGGGUGGCGAGUGGCGGACGGGUGAGGAAUACAUCGGAAUCUACUUUUUCGUGGGGGAUAACGUAGGGAAACUUACGCUAAUACCGCAUACGACCUACGGGUGAAAGCAGGGGAUCUUCGUACCUUGCGCGAUUGAAUGAGCCGAUGUCGGAUUAGCUAGUUGGCGGGGUAAAGGCCCACCAAGGCGACGAUCCGUAGCUGGUCUGAGAGGAUGAUCAGCAACACUGGAACUGAGACACGGUCCAGACUCCUACGGGAGGCAGCAGUGGGGAAUAUUGGACAAUGGGCGCAAGCCUGAUCCAGCCAUACCGCGUGGGUGAAGAAGGCCUUCGGGUUGUAAAGCCCUUUUGUUGGGAAAGAAAAGCAGCAGGUUAAUACCCCGCUGUUCUGACGGUACCAAAAGAAUAAGCACCGGCUAACUUCGUG